GAAAAUUUGUUUUCUGAAAAAAUUGCAAUUUGUUUAAAUGUCGAGACGAUUAAAUUUGGGUCGGCGAACGCGAAAUUCGUUUCAAGUUGUGGCUUCAAGGAGCCGUGAAAGUAGCCAAGACAUUACACAUCGCAAUGAAAAUCGUCUACGCACAGCAAGGUCCCGUUCAAAUCAACGGAACAAUGAUGCAACAAAAACUGCAUAUGAACGUCGUGAUAUUCAAAAUCUACAAGGUGUUGCAUUCGCGUACAGUAGUGUCACCGAUUACGCUUCUCAUAGGCAAAUUAUAAUUGGUCCAAUGAACGACCGUUGUCGCCAUUGUCAGGCAUUAAAAUUUAAAGGUGAAGCAGAUGGGAUGUUCUGUGCGAGUGGUAAAGUGAAAUUGCCUGAGUCAGGCAGCCCACCACAACCAUUGAGCACAGUACUUAAUGGAUUGACACCUGAGUCUAAUCAGUUUUUGAACAAUAUACGAAAGUAUAGUUCGAGUUUUCAAAUGACAUCUUUUGGCGCUACAAAUAUUAUAAGAGACAACUUCAUGCCAACGUUCAAAAUUCAAGGUCAAAUAUACCAUCAAGCUGGCUCCUUGUUACCUUUCGACAACGCAGACCACCAAUUUUUGCAAUUAUAUUUUAUCGGGAACGCGGGAACACGCGAAGACAAAUUAUUUUCGAUUUGCAAAAUAUGUUCCAUGAGCACAACGAAUUGGUACAGGUUUUCAAAACAUCGCUUGAUCGAAUGCCAUCUGACGAUCAUAAAAUUGUUAUUCGAGCUGAUAAAACACCGGUUGGCGAACAUGCAAGGCGUUUCAAUGCACAAACAGUUGACGAAGUGGAAAUAGUCAUAGUUGGUGAGCAAUUUAAUAAUAGUGAUAUUGUGCUUCAUCGUAGAAAUGAACAACUUGAACGUGUAUCCAUCGAUGUUAUGAUGCACUACAAUAUCCCAUAUUGUUUUGGAGCGGACAAGAUGGCUAUAAUUACAACAUUAAAAUGAUAAAUCCAGUAAACGGUCGAGAAGGAACAAAGAAAGUUAGUGCUAUGAAUUAUUACGCAUACAUAUUGAGGUGUAGAGCACUUUUCCACCAGUAUAUUGUUGAUAUGUAUGCAAAAAUUGAAUCGGAACGGAUAAAUUUUCUUCGAUUCAACCAAGCCAAAUUACGUUCCGAAGAGUAUGUUCAUUUGCGUGAUGCCAUUAACAACGAUGGUAAUGCACAAAACGUUGGAACUAUGAUAAUAUUACCGUCAUCGUAUGUUGGAAGUCCACGUCAUAUGUUUGAGUACGUUCGCCGUUACGGUCGACCAGACCUCUUCAUCCGCAAUGGGAAGAAAUCUCGGAAUUAUUGUUUGUUGGCCAAACAUCGAAAGAUCGCCAUGAUAUUUUAGCACGUGUUUUUAGACAAAAAUUGAAAUCACUCAUGGAUUUAAUUGUCAAACACGGUGCAUUUGGGUCUGUUCAAUGUUGGAUGUAUUUAAUUGAAUAGCAGAAACGAGGUUUGCCUCAUGCGCAUAUUUUAAUUUGGCUGAUUGAAAAAAUAAGGCCGAAUCAAAUUGACGAUGUGAUUUCGGCAGAAAGUCCAGAUCAGACAGUGGAUCCUGAAUUGUUUGAACUGGUCACCAAAAAUAUGAUUCACGGUCCAUGUGGUGCGUUGAAUUUGAAUUUCCAAAAAAUUUUUUCUCCGAUACAGUGACGGGCAACGAUGGAUAUCCCGAAUAUCGGCGUCGAUCAACUGAAGAUAAUUGGCCAUUCGGUAAUUUUUAGAGUUAAAAAUCAAUAUUUGGAGAUUGAUAAUCGUUGGGUUGUGCCAUAUUCGCCUUUAUUAUCUAAGAUUUGUAGAGGGCUGCAAUUUAGUUUAAUCUAUUAAAUACAUUUGCAAAUACAUCCACAAGGGCAGUGAUAUGGCUGUUUUUGGAGCAGUUGCUAAUGUUACCGAUGAAAUCAUUCAAUUUCAAAUGGGCAGAUACAUCAGUUCAAAUGAAGCAGUAUGGCGCAUAUUAUCAUUCCCGAUCAAUGAAAGGCAUCCAACUGUAGUUCACUUAGCUGUUCAUCUUGAAAACGGUCAACACGUUUUUUUCAACCACCAGCAACAACUCUAUCCGCAUUUUUUUCGUUGUGUCAAGCAGAUGAUUUUGCGAAAACAUUGCUAUACGCCAAAGUACCAGAAUAUUAUACGUGGAAUAAUUCGUCAAAAGUUUUUCAAAGGCGAAGACGCGGAAUAGCCGUUUAUGGUCAGCCAGUAUUGUUUCACUCAGAUGCGAUAGGAAGAAUUUAUACAGUUCAUCCUAACAAUCAAGAGUGUUAAUUUUAGCGAUUGUUACUAAUAAAUGUUCGUGGACCAACAUCAUUUGAAUCUUUGCAAACUGUUGAUGAAGAAUUCUGUGGGAUAUAUCGCGAAGCAUGCGAACGUUUGAAUAUGCUUGAGAAUGACAUGCAUUGGGAUCUUACACUUGAAGAUGCAGCAUUGUCAUCAAGUCCACAUCAAAUUCGGACACUUUUCGCAAUUAUUAUAGCCACGUGCAGUCCAGCAAAGCCAAUUGAAUUGUGGCAAAAACAUCAAAAUCAU